CACACCUGUUCCCAUGCCGAACACAGAAGUUAAGCUCUUUAGCGCCGAUGGUAGUCGGACUUACGUUCCGCAAGAGUAGGACGGUGCCAGGU
rnacentral:rRNA from 1 species